rnacentral:tRNA from 1 species
UACUAUAUAGUUUAAUUAAAACAUUAAUCUUGUAAAUUAAAAAUAAAAUUAUUAUAUAAAUUUUAUAGUAA